UUUUGAGAAGCUGAAGCAACUCCAAGGACACAGUUCACAGAAAUUUGGUUCUCAGCCCCAAAAUACUGAUUGAAUUGGAGACAAUUACAAGGACUCUCUGGCCAAAAACCCUUGAAGAGGCCCCGUGAAGGAGGCAGUGAGGAGCUUUUGAUUGCUGACCUGUGUCGUACCACCCCAGAAUGUGCACUGGGGGCUGUGCCAGAUGCCUGGGGGGGACCCUCAUUCCCCUUGCUUUUUUUGGCUUCCUGGCUAACAUCCUGUUAUUUUUUCCUGGAGGAAAAGUGAUAGAUGACAACGACCACCUUUCCCAAGAGAUCUGGUUUUUCGGAGGAAUAUUAGGAAGCGGUGUCUUGAUGUUCACCUCCACGAUAUUUGCUGUGGUUGGAUUCUUGGGAGCUGGAUACUCGUUUAUCAUCUCAGCC
rnacentral:lncRNA from 1 species